rnacentral:rRNA from 1 species
UACGUAGGGGGCAAGCGUUGUCCGGAUUUAUUGGGCGUAAAGAGCUCGUAGGCGGUUCCGUAAGUCGUGAAGUCAAAUCUCUGGGCUCAACCCAGAAUCGCUUCCGAUACUGCGGUGACUGGAGUCCGGUAGGGGAGUGUGGAAUUCCUGGUGUAGCGGUGAAAUGCGCAGAUAUCAGGAGGAACACCAACAGCGAAGGCAGCACUCUGGGCCGGUACUGACGCUGAGGAGCGAAAGCAUGGGGAGCAAACAGG